rnacentral:rRNA from 1 species
UACGGAGGGGGCAAGCGUUGUUCGGAAUCAUUGGGCGUAAAGGGCGCGUAGGCGGCUGACCAAGUCGGGUGUGAAAUCCCUCGGCUCAACCGAGGAACUGCACUCGAUACUGGUCGGCUAGAGUCCGGGAGGGGAUGGUGGAAUUCCCAGUGUAGCGGUGAAAUGCGUAGAUAUUGGGAAGAACACCGGUGGCGAAGGCGGCCAUCUGGACCGGUACUGACGCUGAGGCGCGAAAGCCAGGGGAGCGAAUGGG